rnacentral:rRNA from 1 species
UACGAAGGGGGCUAGCGUUGCUCGGAAUCACUGGGCGUAAAGGGUGCGUAGGCGGGUCUUUUAAGUCAGGGGUGAAAUCCUGGAGCUCAACUCCAGAACUGCCUUUGAUACUGAGGAUCUUGAGUUCGGGAGAGGUGAGUGGAACUGCGAGUGUAGAGGUGAAAUUCGUAGAUAUUCGCAAGAACACCAGUGGCGAAGGCGGCUCACUGGCCCGAUACUGACGCUGAGGCACGAAAGCCAGG